AUACGGAGGGUGCAAGCGUUAAUCGGAAUUACUGGGCGUAAAGCGUACGUAGGCGGUUAUUUAAGUCAGAUGUGAAAGCCCCGGGCUUAACUUGGGAACUGCAUUUGAAACUGGGUAACUAGAGUUUAGUAGAGGGGAGUGGAAUUUCAGGUGUGGCGGUGAAAUGCGUAGAGAUCUGAAGGAACACCAGUGGCGAAGGCGGCUCCCUGGACUCGAACUGACGCUGAGGUACGAAAGCGUGGGUAGCAAACGGGAUUAGAAACCCUAGUAGUCC
rnacentral:rRNA from 1 species